rnacentral:rRNA from 1 species
GACGAACGCUGGCGGCGUGCUUAACACAUGCAAGUCGAACGAUGAACUUGGAGCUUGCUCUGGGGGAUUAGUGGCGAACGGGUGAGUAACACGUGAGUAACCUGCCCUGGACUCUGGGAUAACUUCGAGAAAUCGGAGCUAAUACCGGAUAGGACCUUGCACCGCAUGGUGUGGGGUGGAAAGUUUUUCGGUUUGGGAUGGACUCGCGGCCUAUCAGCUUGUUGGUGAGGUAAUGGCUCACCAAGGCGUCGACGGGGAGCCGGCCUGAGAGGGUGACCGGCCACACUGGGACUUAGACACGGCCCAGACUCCUACGGGAGGCAGCAGUGGGGAAUAUUGCACAAUGGGCGCAAGCCUGAUGCAGCAACGCCGCGUGCGGGAUGACGGCCUUCGGGUUGUAAACCGCUUUUAGUAGGGAGGAAGCCUUCGGGUGACGGUACCUGCAGAAAAAGGACCGGCUAACUACGUGCCAGCCGCCGCAGUAAAAC